ensembl:snoRNA
AUCCUUUUGUAGUUCAUAAGUGUGAUGGUUGGGUUUCAUGCUCACGUGUGAAAUGUGCCUUUCUCAAACCUUGUUAUGACACUGGCACAUUACCUGUGUGACG